rnacentral:misc_RNA from 1 species
GAUGAAGAACGUAGCGAAAUGCGAUAAGUAAUGUGAAUUGCAGAAUUCAGUGAAUCAUCGAAUCUUUGAACGCACAUUGCGCCCUCUGGUAUUCCGGGGGGCAUGUCUGUUCGAGCGUCAUUAUAACCACUCAAGCUCUCGCUUGGUAUUGGGGUUCGCGGUUUCGCGGCCCCUAAAAUCAGUGGCGGUGCCUGUCGGCUCUACGCGUAGUAAUACUCCUCGCGAUUGAGUCCGGUAGGUCUACUUGCCAGCAACCCCUAAUUUUUUUAAGGUUGACCUCGGAUCAGGUAGGGAUACCCGCUGAACUUAAGCAUAUCAAUAAGCGGAGGA